AUACGGCUGAAGCACAACAGCUUCAAGAAUAGAACAAUCUUUAACGACCUAUCCUGACCCAACAUUGGCGAACAUCUCGGUCAAUCGAUCAACGUUAAGUGCCACUAAUUCGAUUUCCCCAGCAAUAAUCGACGUACAAACAACCAAAAAUGGCGUAUAACUCUAGCGAAUCAUCGACCAAAUUUUGACCCAGCUCACCCAACCCGAUCCGAUUUUAGACUCGAGAUCGACCCCAAAUCGGUCCUUUUCCCUCAUGUACGUAUCACUUGACUCUCACGUGAGUCCGUAUACAGAAGAUUUGAGAGCCUUCUAGAAUUUAUGUACGUGUUCUCCCCAGCAUCUAAGUUUGAUUUUUCUUGGAUAAGAUGGUACGAAUUCGUACAUACCUGGUGGUUUUUAAUUGGUUUUGGAUUGGAAUCUGUUUGGCUCAAUUUUAAUUGGUCCACCAUUCCCAAAUUGGUACAGCCUGAUGAAACACUAAGCUGGAAAAGGGAUUUCGAAUUUGAAAUCCCAGAAGACCCUUUCUUCCAUUUUCUAUAUAUAGGAGGGCCUUUGUUUCUUGAAAGGAAAAAAAGGGGGGAGGGUUGAACAAGGAGAGUAUAGAAAAUUGGGGGCUUUUUCUUUUCUUUUGGAUGGUAAAUUCUGGGGUCAAAAAUUAAGGUUUUAAAAAGAGGGAAAUCUUCUGAGUAAGUUCUGAUUUUGAAAACAGAGAAAGAAUUUUUUUUUGGAUUUUCUGAAUUCAAGUUGAAAGUCUUAGUUGAAAAUCUGGGGGUUUCCAAAUUUCUAAGAGGAAAAAGCAAAAGGAAGCUCUGUUAGUGGUCGACAUCGCGAGAUUCUGGUAGUGACAAGUUUGCUGAUAGCUUGUCGUCCUGUCUGCUGCCCUGAAAGAGACUCUUUGCAUUCCCUAAUGGGCUAAUCAAGCCCAUCCGUUGAGUCAAGUCCAGAAGUGAGUCCAAGGUUCCAAUGCAUACGAAUACAAGGAUUCAAGAGAGGAGGAAUGGGUUAAAAUCCCAUCUUCGAAGCGACAAAGGGCCUAAAAAGUCUCCUUUUUGUUCAUUCGCUCUUAUUUUUUACUUGUCGUCUUUAUCUAUCUUAUUUAUUUUAUUUAUGGGAUUAUUCGUGUAUUUUGGGCCACGAAGCCAAAGUUGUAUCUAAUACAGGUGGAGCAAGACUCGAGCCAAAGGCCCGAAAAAUAGUUUAGGACAGGUGAAAUGGGUCGGAAGCCCAACUAGACUAGGACAGGUCUCGUUGAUUUGGACCCAAUGGCCUAAAUCCUUUAUUUUCUCCUCCCUUUCCCUUUUAUGUGUUUAUUUGUUCAUUAGUCUUGUUUAAACUUAGUUACAAUCCCAA